rnacentral:rRNA from 1 species
AUACGGAGGAUCCGAGCGUUAUCCGGAUUUAUUGGGUUUAAAGGGUGCGCAGGCGGGAGAUUAAGUCGGCGGUGAAAUUUUGCAGCUCAACUGUAAAAGUGCCUUCGAAACUGGUUUCCUUGAGUGUAGAUGAAGUAGGCGGAAUUUGUGGUGUAGCGGUGAAAUGCAUAGAUAUCACGAGGAACUCCGAUUGCGCAGGCAGCUUACUAAACUACUACUGACGCUCAGGCUCGAAGGCGUGGGGAUCAAACAGGAUUAGAUACCCUGGUAGUCCACGCAGUAAACGAUGAUUACUAGCUGUUUGCGAUACAAUGUAAGCGGCUGAGCGAAAGCGUUAAGUAAUCCACCUGGGGAGUACGUUCGCAAGAAUGAAACUCAAAUGAAUUGACGGGG